CCUAAGGUAGCGAAAUUCCUUGUCGGGUAAGUUCCGACCCGCACGAAAGGCGUAAUGAUUUGGGCACUGUCUCAACAACACACCCGGUGAAAUUGAAAUACCAGUGAAGAUGCUGGUUACCUGCGCCAGGACGGAAAGACCCCAUGGAGCUUUACUCCAGUUUGAUACUGGGAUUCGGUACUGUCUGUACAGGAUAGGUGGGAGGCUAGGAAAUGGUGACGCCAGUUGCCAUGGAGCCAACCUUGGGAUACCACCCUUACAGUACUGGGUUUCUAACCUGCAGCCGUAACCCGGCUGGGGGACAAUGUCUGACGGGGAGUUUGACUGGGGCGGUCGCCUCCGAAAGAGUAUCGGAGGCGCUCAAAGGUUCCCUCAGAACGGUUGGAAACCGUUCGAAGAGUGCAAAGGCAGAAGGGAGCUUGACUGCGACACCGACGGGUGGAGCAGGUACGAAAGUAGGACUUAGUGAUCCGGUGGUAUAAAGUGGGAUUGCCAUCGCUCAACGGAUAAAAGCUACCCUGGGGAUAACAGGCUUAUCACUCCCAAGAGUUCACAUCGACGGAGUGGUUUGGCACCUCGAUGUCGGCUCAUCGCAUCCUGGAGCUGUAGCAGGUUCCAAGGGUUGGGCUGUUCGCCCAUUAAAGCGGUACGCGAGCUGGGUUCAGAACGUCGUGAGACAGUUCGGUCCCUAUCCGGCGUGGGCGUAGGAUAUUUGAGAGGAGCUGUCCUUAGUACGAGAGGACCGGGAUGGACAAACCUCUGGUGUAUCUGUUGUUUUACCAAAGGCAUGGCAGAGUAGCCAAGUUUGGCAGGGAUAAACGCUGAAGGCAUCUAAGCGUGAAGCCCCCCUCAAGAUAAGAUAUCCCAUCUUCGGAGUAAGACCCCUUGAAGACUACAAGGUUGAUAGGCUUCAGGUGUAAGUGUGGUAACGCACUCAGCUGAGAAGUACUAAUAGGUCGAGGACUUAUCCUU
rnacentral:rRNA from 1 species